GACGAACGCUGGCGGCGUGCUUAACACAUGCAAGUCGAACGGAAAGGCCCCUUUGGGGGUACUCGAGUGGCGAACGGGUGAGUAACACGUGAGUAACCUGCCCUUGACUUCGGGAUAACUUCAGGAAACUGGGGCUAAUACCGGAUAGGAAUCCUUGCUGCAUGGUGGGGGUUGGAAAGCUUCGGCGGUUUUGGAUGGACUCGCGGCUUAUCAGCUUGUUGGUGGGGUAGUGGCUUACCAAGGCUUUGACGGGUAGCCGGCCUGAGAGGGCGACCGGCCACAUUGGGACUGAGAUACGGCCCAGACUCCUACGGGAGGCAGCAGUGGGAAAUAUUGCACAAUGGGCGGAAGCCUGAUGCAGCAACGCCGCGUGCGGGAUGACGGCCUUCGGGUUGUAAACCGCUUUCAGCAGGGGCGAAGCUUGUGGUGACGGUACCUGCAGAAGAAGCACCGGCUAACUACGUA
rnacentral:rRNA from 1 species